UCGGUUAGCAGGUUAAUGAGUUGUAUGAUGAGCUGUCUAGUUGAGAAGAUUUUAGAAGAUAUAUUCUCACCUAUAUAUAGAUAUAAUCUACAACAAUACAGUAGCUUUUGACAGUUAAUAAAAUCUCUUCUUUCUUUCUCCUCUCUUCUCUUCUCUUCUCUUCUCUGUUCAUCAUUUCUUGAUUACAAGCUUUAUUCUACACUUAAUGGUGAAAAUUUACAUGGUAUCAGAGCAUCAGUUCGAUCACGGAGUAUGAGAAGAAACUUCAGAAAUUUAUGGAGUUUAGGUCUCCAUUUUGGCACAUCUGAUGUUUCUGGAGCUACCUUGAUUCCAGUCAAGCUUGUUGGAUCUGAAAAUUAUAGUGUGUAGAGUAGAUCAAUGAGCAUCACACUUUUGUGGAAAAAGAAAUUUGGAUUUGUAACUGGUUUGCCAAAGAGAUGUAUAAAGAAGAAUUACAUAAACAAUGGGGAACAUGUAAUGCCAUAAGGUUAUCUGGUUAAUAAGUUCAGUGAGUGCUGAAUUGUUAACUGGGAUGGUGUAUGCCACAAAUGCAAGAGAAGUCUAGAAAGAUCGGAAAGAAAGGAUUGAUAAGGUGAAUAGAAUGAGAUUAUACCAACUACACAGAGAAAUCAACAUACCACUGCAAGGUAUUGAUUCAGUAGCUACUUACUUUACUAAAUUGAAAGGUUUAUGGAAUAAGUAUGAUGCUGUAAUCCCAGCUUCUUUAUAUAAUUGUCCAAGGUCUAAGGAUUAUGCAGAUCACCUUGCUCAAAUAAGGUUGAUAUAGUUUCUAGGAGGAUUGAAUGAUUCAUAUGAACAGGCCAGGAGACAGAUUUUGUUGAACUGAGCUACAUCUUUCCUUAAUCAAGCAUAUGCUAUGAUAACUGAAGAUGAGUUACAACAACUUGCAUGCUUAUCCAUAAAAAAAUAAGAAAUUAGAUCCCACUGCAAUGCAGGUGAACAAAGGUUCAGAAGUAAGUCACAGAAAUCAGAAUUACAAGGGGAAGAAAUGUGACUAUUGUCACUUCACUGGACAUGCAAGAGAGAAUGGAUACAAGUUAAUUAUCUAUCCUACUGACUAGAAAUCAAGGAGAAAGAUAAAUCACAAUAAUAGAGGUUCAAAGGGAUUCAUGCCUCAUAAUCCUGUAAAUGGAUAUGGAAGGCAGGACACUGGAAGAUUUAAUACUACUAGGCAUCCUGGGAAUCAAUAUGUAAGUCAAGUUAAUACUCAAUUUCCAUCUAGUAAUUUUAAUAGACAAGGUACUGGUGAAUAUGCAGGUCAAAAUUCUUCAACUAGUCAAGGUAAUCACAAGGAAAUCAAUAAUGCAGUGCUGGCAAAAGGUUAAGCAUUCACUGAUGGAGAGUACAAGCAGAUUAUGAAACUUCUCAACAGGGAUCAACAUGAGAUGAAACAUGCAAAUAUAUCUGGUAUAGCUACUUGUUUACUUUCCCAUGUUGAACAACAAGAAUGGGUAGUUGAUUCCGGUGUUACUCAUCAUAUAGUAUCAAAUAAUAAUAUGUUUUUCAUAAGAAGUAAACUAGCUAGAGUAGGAGAGGAUAAAGUGAAUAUGCCAAAUGGAGCCAAGGUUGAUAUAUCUCACAGUGGAGAGGCACUAGUUUUGCAGAAUAAAACUGUAAAGUAUGUACUAUUUGUUCCCGACUUUAAACCGAAUUUGCUAUCAGUGUCCAAGGUUACUAGACAAUUGUCUUGUUUUGUAUCCUUUUACCUUGACUUCUGUAUAUUUCAAGAUCCUUAUAGUGGCAUGGCAGAGUAAGGGGGAUUAGCAAAGAAAAAUGAGGAUUGUAUAUUCUUCAAUGUGUGCAUAGAAGGAAGAAUGCAGAUGAAGAUAAAGAAAGGCCAAUAGCAGGCAUAAUGAUGCAUUAUAACAGCCUUUGGCACAAGAGACUUGUACAUCCAUCAACAUAAGUGUUGAAAUCACUAGAUUUGUUGAGUCAUUUUAAGGAUUCUGAGCUACUAAAUAAGUAUCAUGUAUGUCCUCUAGCCAAGAAGACCAGAUUACAUUUUCCUAGUAGUAAAACUAAGUCCAUCAUGUGUUUUGAUAAUGUACAUAUGGAUCUGUGGGGAUCCUAUAAAACACCUACUUUUGAUAAAAAGUUCUAAUUCUUAACCAUUA